CACACGCGAAGUUGGGAUCGACCGGGAGACAUCCGGCGGUUCCGCCGGUGGCUUUGUCCGUAUCCGAACAUGAUCGGGCGGGCUGUUCACUUCGCGGAGGUUAAACCGGAAAAGGAGUAAAAGG
rnacentral:sRNA from 1 species